UUGACUCUUAAGAUACAAAGCAUUCACAUUUAGUAAGCUGCAAGCAGAGAAUUUUUACUAUUUUCAUUAAAAUAAAUACUCAAACCGAAUAAUCGAUUACCGAAAUACUUGGUCAUUAAUUUAAUAGUUAACUAACU